CAGGCGGGGAUCAUGGAGCGAAUCGUACGAUUUUUCGUUUUGUGCGGCCGCUCCUUCGAGGGCCCUCAUUCCUUUGUAUGGCCUCAGGAUAUGCUGUCUCGCGAGCAUCUUGAUCGGGCGCUGGCCGGAGGAGCCGACGAUUGCGGCGAAAGCGACCAGAGGGCGUAUCUACUUCAUAUGAGCGUCCGAGAUCGUGUACUGAUGCAAUUAUUCCGCCCAACUGCCAUUUUCCCGUUAGAAUUUUCCCGCAGAACUCAUCUGAGGAGGAGUUCAGCCCCAUUGGUGCGACUGUGUACAUCCACUUACCGCUCGGCAACAGGAACGCAGUCAGAAGCAUGCUGUCCACGUCAAGUGGCACCUGGAAGUAUCCAUGAACACAAUCCAGCUUGCAGAACCACUUACUGGACGAGUCUACCCUCUUCAUGAGGUCACCAGCAGAAUAGAAUGGAUGUAUUGGCCUGCGAAUUGCCCGAUUCAAUUGUCUAUAAUCGGUUACCAAGCGAACUUUCUUACCACCUGGUUUUGUCACGAAAUGUGCGGGAGAGCACCACUCUGUUGGGACGUUACAUGGGACGAUAACGCCAGCUUUGGCAAGCUCACUGGUUAGUUUGAUUGAUGCUUGCGAAAGCGCAACAGGUGUCAUUCUUGCUGUGGUCACUUGACAUGGUUUAACCUUGCUAGUGGGAUCGAUUUGAAUACUCAUUUUUGGCCCCCUGAUGCCGCCAGAUGCGGCGCCCAAAUCGGAACAAAGAACCUUGCCGACAAAUGGGUCCAGGAUGCGACUGAUCUCAGAGUUUAAAAACCCAAAGUCGAGCUCUGAGUUUCCGGCAUCGCAAGUGUAAACCCGGAGAAGAGAUCCCAAAGUUUCUUCAACAAGAGGCUGAUCUCCACCAGCUUGAAGAUCACCCAAGCUGAUCCCAGCAUCCUCGGACCCGUCGACCUUCGACACCGUGCCUGGGAGGACUGGAGUGACAUCAGGUGAAAUAUUAGCAGCUACCCCACUUCCUGUAGGAUUCGGGAAUGAUUCCGGGAUGACUCCCAAAGAAAUUAAAUCAUAAUACCCAAUUAGGGGUGGGCCUGUCAGAUCAAGAGACCGGACAGCCUCCACUUUAGCGCGUGGACCAGAGCUGGUUUGUGCCAUGAAAGAGAAGACACCAUCAAUAUUCACGGGUGAACCGGUAGCAGUCUGCAGUUUCAGAUUGAAGGGCAAAGUUCUGACAUCGGGCACGAAUGCAACCGGAAACACUGAGCGAUCAGCACCAGUGUCUGGGACAGUCUGAAUUUUUCGUGAUUUGCCAUUGAUUUCGCAGUGCAAGGACUCCUUGCGCGGGUUUUGGGAGAAAUUGAUUGUUGUGCAAAGGGUCGGCCACGGUCUUGAGCACUCUCGUAUAUUGAUGACCGACAUAUUCGACUGAGGUGUCCAGGUUUGCGGCAACGGUUGCAUAUCAUAUUCCGUGCGAAGCAGAUCUCACCAGUGGGAUGCACGGUGUUACCACAUCCAUUGCACUGACUGCGAACUGUACAGAGUGAUUCGACGUCGUCAGGCUCAUCAAUGUAUGACUCGUGAAUAGCAUGGAUUGUGGAGGCACUUGUGGGCACUGCUACCUCUUUAUUGAUGAGCGUUGCUUCAUGGCUGGCAGCUUUGGCAAUGACCUCGUCAAGUGUUGGGUUAGAAAGGUCGGACAACUUGUGGAACAAGAGGUUAUCGGUUUCCGCAGCGUGUUUGAUAUAUGGGUCGUGAGUGGCAUGUUCUUGGGCUUUGCCAUCUUGAACCAAUCCGUGCGGCGUUUAAAGAUUGGAUAGAUUGCAAGGAACUUAUCCACCAAGGCCUGAUAACAAUCCUCAAUGGGUUGGUCGUCAGUUAUGUUCCUCUGUAUUGGAGUUGAGAGGCUGGUUUCCAUGCACUUAAAGAACAGCCAAUUUCUCAUUUCAGGUGGCGAGUUUGUUUGUAAGAGGAGAUUCGGUUGGAAGUCGCGCUGAACCUUUGGCUCUCGUCCACGUACUGGGGCUAUGUUCGGUCCAGCUAUGCCUUGUGGAGGGCGUGUUGCCACCCGGGUAGCUGUUCGUAGCUCUUCCUUGAGUUUAUUCAACUCUACCCUUGCUUCUUCUGUGACUUUGAUGUCAAUCGCUAUCAUUUCCCCAUACUUGUCCGAAAUGACCUCCAGUUUGCUGCGAAGAUCUUGGAGUGAGCGAUAUGAGAAUUCGCCAGCUUCGGCAUCGCCAAUCGUAUCGGCGGCAAUGGAGAAGUGCCGCUUAAGCUGACCGACUGAUCUCCGGAGAGAAUCCAUAGUGCCGUGAAGUGUUCCCAGCGUGGGCUUGUCCGUCUAGCAGAUUUCUUCGGCCCGCAACGGUUGACCAGUGGGUUUAGCCGCCACCAACGAUCUUCUGACGCCUUCCUGGGGCGCGUUCGACCGAAGGGUUCGAUAGCCGUCUGACGUCUCCUGGACGUAUUGGGCUAGCAACUUCCUCUCGGACCUCCUCGGUCCAAAAUACGUUAUUGCGGGGAGCGUGGCUUUUACUGUGUGUUACAGAUUCCGUGGCGACUGCGCCAUGUUCUGUUGGAUAUGUAAUGGAGAUCAAGAGGUCUUCACGCAGAGAGUACGUGUACCAGAAUGAAUAUAUUGGCUUCUGAGGAUGGGUUGGGUGAUAGACAUCGGAACAUGAUAUAAUAAGAACCAAGAAUAUAACAAAAUCCAAGUCAAAUGUCUCUCUGAGUUUCUGUUCCUUAACGUUUGAAAAAAGGAAAUUAUAAAAAGAAUUCACUUCCUAUGUUUUACAAAUUAACAGGCGCAUUUAGGAAUCUUCCCGAGAUUUGAACAGCCAACGUAUCUUUUGACUCGUUCUAGCCAAGAGCUGUAAUUCAGCCCGAUUUCUUGACGAGGGCGUUGCAACGAGGGCAAGACAUUUUUUGACGCCGGUUGGAGGACAAUUGAACGUCUCAAAUGAUGGAGAAAGACAAA